UCGGAACAUAUGCGAUGCAAAACCUAGGAAAAUGCAAUUUCGGUUAUAUGAACAUCUAAUGUUAGCUUUGGAGCCCAGCCUUUGGGACGGUGGAUUUGGUCCUCCAGAUUAGACAUAUGAGUUAUCAGAAAAAUAAAAAGAAAAUAAGGUUCUUCGAACAUCUGAGAGAUCUACUACGGAUGAUCAAGUUAGACUCAACAGAUCAACUACAUCCGAAUUUCGUGGAAACAACAGUCUCAUUUCUCAUUCCUUCCGAUUCACCGAUCAUCGAUCGUAGACUAAACCGAAAAACAAACGAUCAAUUUUUUUUUUCUUUCUAACUCACGCGCACGGGCUAGCUUACGCACAGCUCGAUUAAUCCCGGGACCGAUUCCACCGUCCACCACCAGCGACUAGCAGGGCCCAAUUAAAGCCGGGACGGAACCCCGGAACAGGGGCAACAAAUUUACAGUGAUGGAAGACAGAUUUCUGUGAUCGCGUUUACCUCGAGAAAGUAGAGGAAGAGAUGAAGAAGAAGAAGAAGAAGAAGAGCGUAAGGAGCGAGAGAGAAGCCUCAAAGCCGCCAUUUCU